GUGGCAGAGAGAGAAAGAAGGCGAGAAAGGGAGAGAGAACUCGCGCAUCCACUGGCUCACUGCCUACAUGGCUGCAACAGUCAGAUCUGAGCCAGGCUGAAACCAGAAGACAGAACUCCAUCUGGUCUUCCACGUGCGUGGCAAGGGAUCCAGCACCUGGACCAUCUUCUGCUGCCCUCCCAGGUGCAUUGGCAGGGAGCUGAAUAAGAAGCAAAAGGGCUGGGACUCUGAUAUGGGAUGCUGUUGUCACAAAUGGCGGCUUAACGUGCUACGCCAGGAUACUGCCCACCAGUUGGUCCCUUAGACACUCUGACGGAUACAUCUCUCACUCUGUGAAAAAAACAUCAAACUGAUCUGAAUGAUUUGAUAUGUUGGAUCACAUGGGAAGCGUUGUCCAAUGAGAAGGGAUGCCGUAUCUUCUCUUUUUGCAAGCAACUAUCACCCUCAAAGUCCCACCAGGGGUUCAGGAAUUCAUGGAAGAAGAACAUGAUCUUUUCAUUUUACUUUAUCGUUAAAGCUUUGAAGCCUCCUCAUCUGUCUCCAGUGAGACUUAUGGGAAAGGUGGGGAAGACUCUGACAAGUACGGAUUUCUGAUAACCUUAAGACCACACCAUAGGACUGGAUAAGGGUUCCCAGAGCUCUAAUGAAGAGACUGGUUGCUUUAUGAAACUGCUUAUCCAACAGCAAGAAGAACAAGAAUUAAUGUACUACCAAGGAUACACUUUGGCAGAUUUUCCUGCUAAGUCAGCCAGUACUGGAACUGUUAAGCAGUGCAGUUUGAAUGAACGCCAUCAUCCAAGUCCAAAUAUUUAUGAUAAGCUCUUAGUUAUCAGUGCCAGGCACUUGAACUGGAGAAACAAAAUUGGCAUUUAAAAAGACAUAAAUCCAGCUCGCUUGAGCAGCACAUGUACUAAAAUUGGAACGAUACAGAGAAGAUUAGCAUGGCCCCUGUGCAAGGAUGACAUGCAAAUUCGUGAAGCGUUCCAUAUUUUUCUAAAUAAAGUCCUCAAUAAACCUACAUGAAACAAACAACCAAACAAACAAAGACAAAAAUCCAGCAUCACGCAUGGACUCAUGGAGGCCUUGGAUGGUCUCUGGUGAGAGCUUCCUUUAUUAAAACUUCUGCACUCUGGGGCAGCAUCGUGAUGUAGUUGCUUAAGCAUCUGCUUGUGGCACUGGCAUCCCUAGUGGGCACCGGUUCGAGUCCCGCUGCUCCACUUCUGAUCCAGCUCCCUGCUGAUGGCCUGGGGAAAGCAGUGGAAGAUGGUCCAAGUCCCUGCGUCCCAGCACCCACUUGGGAGACCUGGAAGAAGCUUGUGGCUCCUGGCUUUGGAUCAACCCGGCUCUGGCCAUUGUGACCGUUUGGGGAAUGAGCCAGCAGAUGGAAAACCUCUCUCUCUGUCUCUCCCUCUCACUGUAA